GGUUUUCGAUCUCCGUAUGUUGCCAGGUAGGCUACCAUACUACAGAAUUAUAUUUAACGAUAUUGAACUGUAUUAUGUUAAUAAACGUAGUGUAAGUAUAUGAUACUUGUUUCUCUGACACUUUUUGGCAAUGAGAGAGAAUAAAAUGGUGAUCGAAAACUGAACGAGUAAGUUCCAGUGCUCGCUACGAAAUCGUACUGUAGCUAGAUCUAUAUAAACAGCGCUGCGAUGAAGAUGUGAGUCGUAACUACAAUGCCUGUCUAAUAUAUCUGUUCCCGUUUGGAAAAGGUCCCCAACAAACCAUGUUUGUACUAACAUGAUUGUGUGUCAUUGUACUCUGACAGAGGUUGUGAGACGUGGCUCACUAUAAUAAUCACUGGUUUGCCUGACCGGUUUGUCAGACCGGUGUAUCUGUAAAACCAAAUUACAUUAGGUGGGGUUUUUUUUAUGAUGGUACUCAUAAUUUUGUUACUUAUAUCUGUAGUCUGAGUUUAUUUCCGAUCGGACAUUAUACAUGAAGACUUUAGAUUUACAGUUUUCCUAAAUUUUAGGCAAUUAUACAAUGUAUGUUAUCUUUUUGUUUAGACUACAGAUCUAAAUGUAUGCUUAUUGACUAUAGUUUUAGUUUUGACUUUUUUAAUAUGUUGUCGUUGCAGCAAGGGGGAAAAUGUUACACGACCAUUCCAGGAGAUAAAAUCAAGAAUGUUGAAUCAUUGAGGAACACACCAAAUAAACCCUGGGCUGUGAAUUAUGUUAACGGAAGUGGAAGUGAACACCAAAGAAAGAAGAUUCUGGCAUUCAAUAAUUUCGAAUAGUGUAUAAAUUUUCUAUAAUCUAAAAAUAAUAAAAUGUCAACGCAAA